GACGAACGCUGGCGGCGUGCUUAACACAUGCAAGUGGAGCGACGAACCAGGGCUUGCCCUGGGGCAGAGCCGCGAACGGGUGAGUAACACGUGGGUUACCUGCCUCGAUGACCGGGACAACCCGAGGAAACUCGGGCUAAUACCGGAUGUGCCCGCAGGGGGAAAGGAAGCUUCGGCCUCCGCAUCGAGAUGGGCCCGCGGCCCAUUAGCUUGUUGGUGAGGUAACGGCUCACCAAGGCUUCGAUGGGUAGCUGGUCUGAGAGGACGAUCAGCCACACUGGGACUGAGACACGGCCCAGACUCCUACGGGAGGCAGCAGCGGGGAAUCUUGCGCAAUGCGCGAAAGCGUGACGCAGCAACGCCGCGUGGGGGAAGAAGGCUUUCGGGUUGUAAACCCCUUUCAGUUGGGACGAAGCUCUGUCGGUUAAUAGCCGGUCGGAGUGACGGUACCUUCACAAGAAGCACCGGCUAACUACGUGCCAGCCGCCGCAGUAA
rnacentral:rRNA from 1 species